rnacentral:rRNA from 1 species
GAUGAACGCUGGCGGCGUGCCUAAUACAUGCAAGUCGAGCGAACAGACGAGGAGCUUGCUCCUCUGACGUUAGCGGCGGACGGGUGAGUAACACGUGGAUCACCUACCUAUAAGACUGGGAUAACUUCGGGAAACCGGAGCUAAUACCGGAUAAUAUAUUGAACCGCAUGGUUCAAUAGUGAAAGACGGUUUUGCUGUCACUUAUAGAUGGAUCCGCGCCGCAUUAGCUAGUUGGUAAGGUAACGGCUUACCAAGGCAACGAUGCGUAGCCGACCUGAGAGGGUGAUCGGCCACACUGGAACUGAGACACGGUCCAGACUCCUACGGGAGGCAGCAGUAGGGAAUCUUCCGCAAUGGGCGAAAGCCUGACGGAGCAACGCCGCGUGAGUGAUGAAGGUCUUCGGAUCGUAAAACUCUGUUAUUAGGGAAGAACAAAUGUGUAAGUAACUAUGCACGUCUUGACGGUACCUAAUGAGAAAGCCACGGCUAACUACGUG